UACGUAGGGGGCAAGCGUUGUCCGGAAUCAUUGGGCGUAAAGAGCGUGUAGGCGGCUCGGUAAGUCCGCUCUGAAAGCCCGGGGCUCAACCCCGGGAGGCGGGCGGAUACUGUCGGGCUAGAGUCCGGAAGAGGCGAGUGGAAUUCCUGGUGUAGCGGUGAAAUGCGCAGAUAUCAGGAGGAACACCGGUGGCGAAGGCGGUCAUCUGGCCCGGUACUGACGCUCAGGCACGAAAGCGUGGGGAGCAAACAGG
rnacentral:rRNA from 1 species